AGACAUCAAGUGACAGGUACCUGACUGAACCCUCUGGAAACCAAGAAUGGAGUGAGAGAUCCACUUCAUCCUUACAACAGACAUCAAGUGACAGGUACCUGACUGAACCCUCUGGAAACCAAGAAUGGAGUGAGAGAUCCACUUCAUCCGUACAACAGACACCAAGUGACCUGACUGAACCCUCUGGAGACCAUGAAUAGA